rnacentral:SRP_RNA from 1 species
GCAAGGCGUUGUGGCGGCCGCCUGUGGUCCCAGCUACUUGGGAAGCUGAGGCAGGAGACUCACUUGAGCCCAGGAGUUGGAGGUUGCUGUGAGCUGUCAUAUUAUGGCACUCCUCUACCUAGGGGGACAGCUUGAGGCUCUGUCUCAAUAAAAAAAGGAACCUCCAUACUGUUUUCCACAAUGACUUAUUUACACUCUCUUUUUUUUUUUUGGAGACAGAGCCUCAAGCUGUCCCCCUGGGUAGAGUGCUGUGGCAUCACAGCUCACAGCAACCUCCAACUCCUGGGCUCAAGCGAGUCUCCUGCCUCAA